UAAUACAUGCAAGUCGAGCGGACAGAUGGGAGCUUGCUCCCUGAUGUUAGCGGCGGACGGGUGAGUAACACGUGGGUAACCUGCCUGUAAGACUGGGAUAACUCCGGGAAACCGGGGCUAAUACCGGAUGGUUGUUUGAACCGCAUGGUUCAGACAUAAAAGGUGGCUUCGGCUACCACUUACAGAUGGACCCGCGGCGCAUUAGCUAGUUGGUGAGGUAACGGCUCACCAAGGCAACGAUGCGUAGCCGACCUGAGAGGGUGAUCGGCCACACUGGGACUGAGACACGGCCCAGACUCCUACGGGAGGCAGCAGUAGGGAAUCUUCCGCAAUGGACGAAAGUCUGACGGAGCAACGCCGCGUGAGUGAUGAAGGUUUUCGGAUCGUAAAGCUCUGUUGUUAGGGAAGAACAAGUGCCGUUCAAAUAGGGCGGCACCUUGACGGUACCUAACCAGAAAGCCACGGCUAACUACGUGCCAGCAGCCGCGUUAAUA
rnacentral:rRNA from 1 species